rnacentral:rRNA from 1 species
UACGUAGGGUGCAAGCGUUGUCCGGAAUUACUGGGCGUAAAGAGCUCGUAGGUGGUUUGUCACGUCGUCUGUGAAAUUCCACAGCUUAACUGUGGGCGUGCAGGCGAUACGGGCUGACUUGAGUACUGUAGGGGUAACUGGAAUUCCUGGUGUAGCGGUGAAAUGCGCAGAUAUCAGGAGGAACACCGAUGGCGAAGGCAGGUUACUGGGCAGUCACUGACGCUGAGGAGCGAAAGCAUG